UUUAGAUAACGUAGCAUUCAAGAGCGAGCAAGUAGUAAACGCGAUUGUGCGAAAUUUCGACGGAUGAAAAACAUUUUGGAGCUGCGACCACAUCGCGACAUUCACGAUUCGCCAAAAUGUACAUGAAGUUUGUUUGAACGCGAUCGAUUCUCUCCGCCAAUCAUCGCAUUUCCCUCCAAAUGGGAUCGCCAUAUUAAACUUGACCUAUGUACGAGUGUGUCGAUCGUCGUAUAUUCUCUUCCGAAUUUAGGCAGACUUAUGGCACGGCGGUAACCGAGAUACAUCAUAUUCGACCUUCAAGUCGAGUAAUGUAUUUAGAAGAAAAUAACGAGUAGAAAAUCCGUCACCACAAUCCAACACGUGGAAGUUUGCGUUCUGGAGUGAAAAAUCAUGAAGACAAGUAGUGAACUACACUUUUCGUAAUCGUCUUGCAUUAGUUGUGUGAGUGUGUGAAGAGGAACUUGGAUGAACACGGAUUGAGAAUCGAGGAUCAUGCUGCGGUCACCGAGCUCAGAGAGCGGUGAAUCCUAAUUUGCUGACACACUGGAUGCUGUGAUAUAGAUGUAUCUGGUUGGAAGCUGCAAACGAGAAACUUGUGUGCUAUUUUCGCCGCUUGGAAUUGUUCCUGCCGUAAUUUCGUAACAUAGUAAAAGGCGCGUCGGGAGUGCGGGAGUAUCGUGAUAGUUUCGUGCGAGUACGAAACAAAUCUAGCGAAUCGUAUAAAUGAUUACAUUUCCGCUGAAAGAUAUUGGAAUACUUUCUUCGAGUUUAUUUUGGACAAUUCGGUUCGAUUCGUCUACGAUGUCGAGAGUGUUGUUUAAAGUGCUACGCGAUUUUUGUACUCGGGUACGCGAGUAAUACACACCGCGAACGCGUGUGAAUACCUCGAAGGGUCGCUGAAAGGAGGACGAGACCUAGGAGGCAUCGGGCGACAACAGAUCAACGUUGCGAUGGAAUGGAGACAUGAGAUGAAAUGGAUGGGGCAAACGGCACAGAAGCAGCGGAACGACGAUCGAGCAACGAAAAAGCCGCCAAGCUGGCGAGCCUAUCGAGUUGCAUGUCGACGAUGAUGGACGACGACGAGCAGGAGGAGCUCCGCUGCACCGGCAGCGACGUCGAGAUCGAGGAGUACACCGACACCGAGGAAUCGCCAUAUGUCGCUUAUCAGGCCAGCAGCGAUAAGCUGUUCGAUACCGAUCGCGAGAACUGGCAGAAGCUCCGUUUCCUGGCUACCCUCGUGUCCGUCGCGGUAUCAGUUACCGUUCUCGUUAUCAGCUAUCCGCUUUAUCUCGAGAGCGUCAGUGCUGUUUCCAGUGCUUACACAGGACUCCUUUUCACUGCUUUAUGCUCCGCCUGCAUUUUGGGGAUAAUGUACUUCGUUGCGGAUAGAGUGUCGCCGCCACCACCACUAAUACCGAACAGCAUGCGAGUAAGGAUACCCCGCUGCGGUUUGAUCAAAAUAAGCACUCUCUACGCCCUCUCAGGAGUCCUGAUUACUCUGUCCCUCGAUCGGAACAGAGUACUAUGUCACUUACAGGAUCCGAUAAAAGGUGUCGUUCUCGUCUUCUCUCUCGUCUACUACUUCUUCUUUUGUCGAAAAAUGAUGAGUCUGCAGCGAAUAUUCUCAAGCACGACUAUAAUAGUGGGUUUGUUCAUAAGCGUUGAUUAUGGUCUCUGCGACGAGUUCCGUUGUCGGGGAAGAGAGGUUUCCUCGCAUACAACAGCAGCUAUGAGGGGAACCUGGGGUGUCCGGGCAAUUUGGACUUUCGUUUACGUGGGCGCUCUCGCCGCCUUCGCCAUGUUCUUCACUAUGCUCGAACGGCAUUACACUACCGGGCAGCAAAAUGUGUGCCAGAUGUUGACGACGCAACACAAUUCUUUCCUCUACACGGUGUCGCGUUUGGUGUCUUCUCGCGAUAUUCGUCGUCGUGGCUCCGAAGAAGAAGGCGGUCGGUUGCUGCACGUGACUGAUCCGGAUCCCACGAUAAAGCCGAAAAGCUACCCUAAGCCGCCGGUGAUGCAAACCCUCUUUUACAUACACGUCAUUGCAUUCUUUGCCAUCCUGACGCUUUGCUGGCUCGACACAUUGCCGGGCAUCGGCAGGGGUUUGUCGCCUGUAGAAUUGUAUCGUACCGUCGAGCAUGGACUGAUGUGCCACUUUAAAGGCGGUAAACUAUGCUCGAACGUGUCCAGCCACGGAUGGAUUUUUCUAUUCGCUUACGUCGUCUUCUCGAUCUCAAUUCUCAACUUUCUGUCGUUGUGCGAAAGCGCGGUGUUCAGUGUGGCCACUGCGACUGUCUCUCUUCCACUGUCUGGUAUUUGGUGGAGUAUUUACAGAAUGGACAUCGGUUUACACGGGGGUUUCAUCUCCUGGUCGCCAGGAGUGACGGGCGAGUUGAUCUGCGCCUUACUUGGUCUUCCCGUUGUACUGCUUGGUCUGGGUCUACUUGUCAGAUCGCACUUCAGGGACACUCAACUUCCUUACCAGAUCAUUCAGCCACCAGAUAUCCAGCCUCACGAGGCCUGCCACAGAUGAAUUUCUUUGUAGCAUCUAGCUUGACCUUGCGACAAAGUGCAUACCACACGCGGUGAUCCAAAUGGAAAUUAAUUCUGAUCGAUUCGAUCGAAGCGACGAAUGUAUUGUUGGUUUUCAUCGAAUCAAUCGGAACGAAUGACACUACACCAAUGUUCUUCCUUUGAUCGCGAGGUCACCAAGGUAAAACAAGAUUCUCGAUUCGACCGUACGUACGUUUUAUCGAUUGACAUGCAAAUUUGCAUAUAUGUUGACAGAUAAUUGACUUUUUACCAAUAUCAGUUAAUCCCGAUUUGAUUUUUUUUUUCAGAAAUAUGAUUAGAAAAAUGUAAAAAAUUUAGUUAAUUCUUUUAUCAGCAAAAUUAAUUUUUUUAGGACAAUUUUUUAUUAUAUUUUUUAGUUAAUUAAAUAAUAUUUAAUCUUGAUGUAUAGAUUAAUUGUUACUAUUAUUUGAUUGGGAUUAAUUAAUUCAAGAAUUGAGUUAAAAUUAGAAUUAACUGAUAUUGGUAAAAAGUCGGUCAAAAGUUUCCGCACGGCAUUAUUGCGUUAAAUGCAAUUUAUGCACGCUUGCCUGUAAAAUUCUUUUUUCCAAACACGGAGAAACGAAUUUGCGGCGCGCGCGCGCAUUUGUGAUAAGAAAAUGAGUGCCAAUAUAUCGGUAACCCCUUCUACGAGAAGAAAAAGCGUGAAAUAGUGCGUGGGGAAGAAAGGAGAAAGCGAUCAAUUUUUCCUACAUAUUUGCCAAAUAUGAACGUCCGCGCGUCAUCAUGUACGCGAAAACGUUAUAGCCAAUUUAUAUUUUAUUUUGAUAACGAGAUGUUUUAUAUAUUUUCGAAGAAGUUCAAAUCUCACGUGUUAAAAACUGGGUAGAAGAGUAAAAAUGCGCGGAAAGUACUUUUUUAGCUGCAGAUCUGCGCGCACAGGAGCUUUCGAGCUAAGGAGAUUUUAUUCUGACUUAAUUUCCAAAAUCUAUUACAUGGAAAAUAAAAAUUGGAAGUGAGAUAUAUUUAUGUGAUCAUUUUUGAAAGUAUUAAUUAAUAGAUGUUAUAUAUAUAUGUGUAAUCACUCGAUUAAAAUUGUUAUAAACUUAUCAUCACGAGAGUUGUCAUAAUUCUUGAAACAUGUACGUUUAUUUUUUUAGAAAUAAGUAACACUUGGGGAAAAAACGUUGAAAAAUAGAGAUCUCAUUAUAAAAUAAUGAAUAGAUAUAUAAAGCUGCUAUUGCAAUUUAAUCGAAGUUAAUUAAAUUUGAAUGGACAUUUUUGGUCGGCCAAUCAAGUAGUUAAUUGUUAUUGACAUGUUAUUAAAUGAUUCAUAGGAGUUCAUUAAAUAUUAUUACCGCAAUUUUGCCAAAUAGUCACAAUAUGCGAAUAUGUGAGAAUGAAAACGGAGACUCGUUUAAUGAAGUAAAAUUGUCGGAAGUUGAAUCGCGCGCGCGCGCGCGAGAGCUUAGUUUCGAUUCAUAAUUGUUUCGAGUCAGGCUCUAACCAUUGUUACAGUCCUGUGCGCGCAAAUUACAAUAGUAGCAUACUUUGUCAAAGAUAAAAACUUGUGAGAGUACAGUAUUAUACUUGCUACCAGUUUGCAGUUUCCACGUUGGAAAUAUUAAAGUAAUAAGCGAGUGACUGAGAUACGUGCGCACGCGUGCGUGUAUAUGUGUGUGAUAUCUCUCUACACGACGUUCCAUUAACGAUAGACGUUACUCUAUCAAGUAACUUCAGCGCACAAAUUGUUUCAAACUAGUGUCCUGGUCGUGCGCGGUUAACAACGUUUGUCUUGCUAACGUAUAAAAUUCCAUCGCGGGCGGAUGAAAGUUUUGGAAUAAUUAACUAGCCCAUUCACGCGCUGUUAGCAAAAAGUCCCGUCAAGACGUAUCUUCCUCUCGCUGAUCUGAGUGCCAAUUAAGUUUCUUGAUAUAUUUCUUCGCCCAUCUUACAAAGAAUAAUUUUUUUAUAGCUACAUAUUUUUACGUACAUAAUAAGUAUAAUUAAAAUUAUGUGAUUAUAUGUUUAUAUUACGAAUUU
rnacentral:misc_RNA from 1 species